UUCAAUGGCGGUUCAGGCGGGGGAGGCUUCGGCCUCGCCGGACGAUCGUUCCCGGUAUUGCUAACCCUGUCUGAAUCGCCACCAUC
rfam:Xenorhabdus khoisanae strain MCB contig116, whole genome shotgun sequence.